AUUCCUUCUCAGCCUUUUGGCUGAGAUCAGGUGAAGUAUCUGUUCUUAUCAGGUUAAUAUCUUAUUAGUCAUCUAUCUGAGUAACCUCA
rnacentral:snRNA from 1 species